rnacentral:rRNA from 1 species
UGGGGAAUAUUGCACAAUGGGCGCAAGCCUGAUGCAGCCAUGCCGCGUGUGUGAAGAAGGCCUUCGGGUUGUAAAGCACUUUCAGCGGGGAGGAAGGCGAUAAGGUUAAUAACCUUGUCGAUUGACGUUACCCGCAGAAGAAGCACCGGCUAACUCCGUGCCAGCAGCCGCGGUAAUACGGAGGGUGCAAGCGUUAAUCGGAAUUACUGGGCGUAAAGCGCACGCAGGCGGUCUGUCAAGUCGGAUGUGAAAUCCCCGGGCUCAACCUGGGAACUGCAUUCGAAACUGGCAGGCUAGAGUCUUGUAGAGGGGGGUAGAAUUCCAGGUGUAGCGGUGAAAUGCGUAGAGAUCUGGAGGAAUACCGGUGGCGAAGGCGGCCCCCUGGACAAAGACUGACGCUCGGGUGCGAAAGCGUGGGGAGCAAACAGG